AUGCUUAGGGAGGAGCUUGCGUCACAUUAGUUAGUUGGUGGGGUAAAGGCCUACCAAGACUAUGAUGUGUAGCCGGGCUGAGAGGUUGAACGGCCACAUGUGGACUGAGACACGGCCCAAACUCCUACGGGAGGCAGCAGUAGGGAAUUUUCGGCAAUGGAGGAAACUCUGACCGAGCAACGCCGCGUGAACGAUGAAGUAUUUCGGUACGUAAAGUUCUUUUAUUAGGGAAGAACAAAUGAUGGAAAAAUCAUUCUGACGGUACCUAAUGAAUAAGCCCCGGCUAACUAUGUGCCAGCAGCCGCGGUAAUACAUAGGGGGCAAGCGUUAUCCGGAAUUAUUGGGCGUAAAGGGUGCGUAGGCGGUUAAAUAAGUUUAUGGUCUAAGUGCAGUGCUCAACAUUGUGAUGCUAUAAAAACUGUUUAGCUAGAGUAAGAUAGAGGCAAGUGGAAUUCCAUGUGUAGUGGUAGAAUGCGUAAAUAUAUGGAGGAACACCAGUAGCGAAGGCGGCUUGCUGGGUCUUUACUGACGCUGAGGCACGAAAGCGUGGGGAGCAAACAGGAUUAGAUACCCUGGUAGUCCACGCCGUAAACGAUGAGUACUAAACGUUGGGUAAAACCAGUGUUGAAGUUAACACAUUAAGUACUCCGCCUGAGUAGUACGUACGCAAGUAUGAAACUUAAAGGAAUUGACGGGACUCCGCACAAGCGGUGGAUCAUGUUGUUUAAUUCGAAGGUACCCGAAAAACCUCACCAGGUCUUGACAUGCUUCUGCAAAACUGUAGAAACACAGUGGAGGUUAUCAGUUGCACAGGUGGUGCAUGGUUGUCGUCAGCUCGUGUCGUGAGAUGUUGGGUUAAGUCCCGCAACGAGCGCAACCCUUAUUGUUAGUUACCAGCACGUAAUGGUGGGGACUUUAGCAAGACUGCCAGUGAUAAAUUGGAGGAAGGUGGGGACGACGUCAAAUCAUCAUGCCCCUUAUGACCUGGGCUACAAACGUGAUACAAUGG
rnacentral:rRNA from 1 species